GCAAGUCGAGGGGUAACAGGGAGCUUGCACUGCUGACGACCGGCGCACGGGUGCGUAACGCGUAUAGAAUCUACCUUGUACUGAGGAAUAGCCUUUGGAAACGAAGAUUAAUGCCUCAUGGUAUGUUAAGUUCGCAUGAACACUACAUUAAAGGUUACGGUAUAAGAUGACUAUGCGUUCGAUUAGCUAGAUGGUGUGGUAACGGCACACCAUGGCGACGAUAGAUAGGGGCCCUGAGAGGGGGAUC
rnacentral:rRNA from 1 species